AAGAGAGAAAGAGAGAGAGAGAGAGAGAGAGAGAGAGAGAGAAAGAAAGAGAGAGAGAGAGGGCAUCGUGAUCGUACGAAUGUGCAAAACAACGAGACGAAAGGAUGCUCAACACGUCGCUCUGGACAUGGGAUAGAUGAUACCACUGAUGUUUAUACGAUGCCGUAGAUCAGACGAACUAGACAGAAUGGAUUGGACCUACGGACUCAGGAGGAGCCUCCUGAGGACUUUAUCACGGUGAACAGAAAUUCCUAAAACGCAAGACUGCAAAUCCGUCGUCGUACAAUCUUUUUUUUCGACGCGUACGAAAAAGACUGAAAUAUCUUUAAAA